rnacentral:rRNA from 1 species
CCUACGGGUGGCAGCAGUGAGGAAUAUAGGUCAAUGGGCUUACGCCUGAACCAGCCAAGUCGCGUGAGGGAAGACUGCCCUAUGGGUUGUAAACUUCUUUUAUAAAGGAAUAAAACGAGGCACGUGUGCCUUUUUGCAUGUACUUUAUGAAUAAGGAUCGGCUAACUCCGUGCCAGCAGCCGCGGUAAUACGGAGGAUCCGAGCGUUAUCCGGAUUUAUUGGGUUUAAAGGGAGCGUAGAUGGGUUGUUAAGUCAGUUGUGAAAGUUUGCGGCUCAACCGUAAAAUUGCAAUUGAUACUGGCAGUCUUGAGUACAGUUAAGGUAGGCGGAAUUCGUGGUGUAGCGGUGAAAUGCUUAGAUAUCACGAAGAACCCCGAUUGCGAAGGCAGCUUACUAAACUGUGACUGACAUUGAUGCUCGAAAGUGUGGGUAUCAAACAGGAUUAGAUACCCCUGUAGUC